GCAGCAGCAGCGCCGCGCAAACUCAGUCUCCUCCCCCUCCUCCUCCCUCCGCAUGCACUUCCUCAUUUCGGCCACAACGGGCGAGAAGUGGCGCUGUUGAGCACCUAACCUCACACUGCCUGCCCUGCUGUAGCUACAGGUCACGGGGAUCUGCUGGAGCCUAUUCCAGCACACAUCGGGCGAAAAGCAGGGGUAGACAGGUCGGCAGUCCAUCACAGGGCUGCACAUACAGUAUAUAGACAGACAACCACACCAAUUACCAAUUACGAAUUACCAAUCAACUGUGGGAGGAAACCGGAGUACCCGGAGUAAACUCACGCAGGCACGGGGAGAACAUGCAAACUCCACACAGAAAGGCCCUUGCCUGUUUAAACCAGGGAUUCAAACCCAGGACCUUGCUGUGAGGCAACAGUGAAAACCAGUAGGCCACUGUGCUGCCCCCCCAUCUCAUUAUAUUUGAAGGUAAAAAACAACACUCAUUUUUAUGUAGUUAAUUCUGACGGUGAUUCGUGUACUAUAUGAGCAGGGGAAAUGGGGAAAAAGGGGGUGUGGCUUAUUCAAUAGACUGGCUGUGUGAAAGAACAGAACAGAAUUUCGGAUUGGAGGCUGUUUUAUUCAAACAAAUAAAACCUGAAGAAAUAUCGUAACUUGAAAUAUAGAGUAUUGAGCUUUUCAACGGUACCUGAUUUGUUUAAAAAAAAGAAACAAAAAACAUGAGAUGCAGAAGUUGCUGUAUAUCCAGCUGUGAGGAUGUUCAUAAAAGCGUCACAUGGUUUUGAUUUCUUCUUUCAGCUCAAAGGAGAGAAACCUGACUUGUGAUCAGCUAGCUAGCGUCUAGCUGUAAGUGCAGACGUUAUCAAAGAGCACCUCUGUGUUUCAUCGGCAACAGGAUGUGGCAUCAGGAAAUCAUCACAAACAUUCUUUAUUCAUUUGCAUAUACUUUAUUUCCUAUAAAAUCUGUGUGCGUUAAACUUCCCACGGGUACACUGACACCCCCCUUUGGCCUUUUUCUUCAUGAUGGCAAAUUGUAUUCAUG